rnacentral:rRNA from 1 species
CCUACGGGGCGCAGCAGUGGGGGAUAUUGCACAAUGGGGGGAACCCUGAUGCAGCGACGCCGCGUGGGCGAUGGAGUGCUUCGGCAUGUAAAGCCCUAUCAGCAGGGAAGAAAAUGACGGUACCUGAGUAAGAAGCCCCGGCUAACUACGUGCCAGCAGCCGCGGUGAUACGUAGGGGGCAAGCGUUAUCCGGAUUUACUGGGUGUAAAGGGAGCGUAGACGGCAGUGCAAGUCUGGAGUGAAAGGCGGGGGCUCAACCCCCGGACUGCUCUGGAAACUGUACGGCUGGAGUGCAGGAGAGGUAA